rnacentral:rRNA from 1 species
GUAGGUGGCAAGCGUUGUCCGGAAUUAUUGGGCGUAAAGCGCGCGCAGGUGGUUCUUUAAGUCUGAUGUGAAAGCCCCCGGCUCAACCGGGGAGGGUCAUUGGAAACUGGGGAACUUGAGUGCAGGAGAGGAAAGUGGAAUUCCACGUGUAGCGGUGAAAUGCGUAGAUAUGUGGAGGAACACCAGUGGCGAAGGCGACUUUCUGGCCUGUAACUGACACUGAGGCGCGAAAGCGUGGGGAGCAAACAGGGAUUAGAUACCCUGGUAGUCCACGCCGUAAACGAUGAGUGCUAAAUGUUGGGGGGGUUUCCCGCCCCUCAGUGCUGCAGCUAACGCAUUAAGCACUCCGCCUGGGGAGUACGGUCGCAAGACUG